rnacentral:misc_RNA from 1 species
CGCACAUUGCGCCCUUUGGUAUUCCAGGGGGCAUGCCUGUUCGAGCGUCAUUACAACCCUCAAGCCUUGCUUGGUAUUGGAUGUUCACCAGCUUUGGUGCAUCUUAAAAUCAGUGGCAGUGCCAUUUGGCUUCAAGUGUAGUAAAUAUAUCUCGCUUCUGAAGUUCAAGUGUGUUCUUGCCAGAAAACUAAAUUUAUCAAGGUUGACCUCGGAUCAGGUAGGGAUACCCGCUGAACUUAA